GCCUCUCGAAAUGCCCUUUUCUGCCUCCGCCGCCGGUCCGGGGAUGGGAACAGGCUUCGGACCCCUCGUCUGCUCCGAGGCUGCUUUAGGGAUGAGGGUGGGUUAGUUUUUUGGUUUUUUGGGGGGUUUUUUUGGGGGGGUAUAUAAAUCUGUGCUGAAGGUUUGCAGUUGAAUGCCAGGAGCCUGAUGCUCGGCUCUGGCGGAUGCCACGGGCACACACAAGGGGUGGGGGGGGAAGGAGAAUAGGAAGGCAGGGGGGCAAAGACCCCUUUUUCUCUUCGCUCCCCCCCCCAAAAAAAACCAAAACAAAACGCUUUUGAGAAUCGCCCCACCAGGAGAGCUAUCACUCGCUCUUCAAGGUUUCUGGCCAGCAACACCAAUGACUGUCACGGCCAACCUGUUAAUUCAGAGAUGUCAUGCACAGGGGAUUUAACCAUGCACGAGCUGUGUCCCUGCACGAGGAGGGAGAACAUCCCUGACCACAUCGCAGGACUGAGAUGCAGGCUGGAGACAGACAACCCUCACCUCAAGGGUUUGUCAAAACCACCCAGCUCCUUGAGCAGAACCUUGCCAGGAAAGUCCUACACCUGUGAGCCAGCCAUCGUUUUAGGACAAGAUCUGAAGCAACACAGAGAUGAAAGAUACCCAAAUCCUGGAUCGGUCUGUUGUGCUGGCCGCUUCUCUAAGCAUCCCUGCAUCUUGGGACCCUGCUGGGAGGAGGCACCAGGAGAUACCCCAGGUUUCAGCCACUCCUGGUGCUUCCAGGCUUGCUGGAAGCUGCAGCUCCAGGGGACCACAGCAGCACUGGCAUCGUAGUCAUGGAAGACCACCCUCCCACAGUCCUGCUGCUGGAUCAGGCCCAUAGCCCCGGGCGGUGCGCAGCUGGAUGUUUUAUUAGGGUUUGGCAUCUUCCCGUGAAAUGCAGAAAACAUCAGCAGUAGGUGUGCUUGAUGAUUCGUUUUAUUGUGUCGUUUGAUUGGUAUUGAAGAAACGAGUGCAGACUUUUCCAAAACGGAACUGGAGGAAGGUGUGUCAUCCUCCAGAAGCAAUUCCUCUCUCCCCUGAGAAGUGAUAUUCCCCGUGAACUGCGAGAACAGGAAUUUCCAAAGCUAUUGUUCAAAACCAUGACGAUUUCAUUCUCAUUAUAACUUUUUUCCUAGGAAAAGAAAUAUCUAUACCAGCACACCAUGAAGCAGAUUUCGCACAUUGCAUAAAUCAGUGUAACUUUACCGACGCCAUGGAGGCAUGCCAAUUUGCACCUAUUCAGGAAUCUGGUCUCCUAUUUUUUUUAUAUCUUGGAUUUCGGCAGGCUUUCCUGGCUGAAGAUGAGGAAGGCUCCAGCAAAGUACAAACUACCUGUUUAUCUGACAUCCCAUCCCAGCGGACAAACCGACAUCGCAGGACCACGCGCAUCGGAAACAUGGCUGAUAAAGCGCAAAGAAAAACGUCGUCUUCCGCUGUGCGCGCGGGGUUGUAAUUCUUCCAAAAACUUUGCUUAAAAACAUUUUCCACCUGUAAUGAUAGAGGCUGUCUUGCUUUGCCUGGGCUCUGGAAGUGCACGCUGACAGGCUGUGUGUAAUGUCAUCUCCCUGCUUUAGACCCUGUUCCAAGUUCGGAAAUCCAGCAGGCUGGAUGGAAGGGGGAGGAGGGUUAUUCUGUUUUUUAAGUUCCUAAAGGAGUUGGUUUUGGUCCUAACCUAACAAACAGGUUGACAUAGAUGCUUAAUAAUCAUGAUUUAAAGUCAAGUUGCCUGUCAGACCAGCAAAUAUCUGUGGUCACUUGGUGCCCAGUUCACCAUCUACUCACAGCAGCCUCUGCACUCAUUUCCUAUGAACAAUGUUCCAGCUUUUGCUUCAUACAUAUCUGUAUUUUAUAUACGUUAUCAAAUUAAUUAAUACUCACAACCUAUUUGGGUCUAAAAAUAAGAGGAAUUAAAGGCUAGAAAAUACAUACUAGGUUGUCGCACAUUUUCUGUGUGAAGUGUCCUUUCCACGUUAAGGAGAUGUGCUCCUGGAGGGGUGCUCGCUGGGUGCUGAGCUGUGCCCCUGUGUCGUACCAUCCUCCCCAAGCACUUUUUGCAAACUAUGGUGCUGUCACCCUGAUUCCUGUUUUCCAGCAGACACGAGUCUGAAUCAAUGGGAAUAACAAGGCAUGGUGACAACAGCGUGAGAUGUUUCCUUGCCAACUUCAACUGUAAACCUGUAAGUCUUUAGAGUCUCAGCUCUUUCCAGUUACAUCAUGAACAUUGGACUGGUCCUGAAGUCACAGCUGACCUUUGCGUGAGCUUUCUCCUGCUUGGUUUCACACAUCCUCCGUGCAUCAUACAGUAAACCUCUUUACCUGCCCUGUUUCUGUACUUUUUUCUAGACCACAUCAAGGUGGUAGAUUCCUGGAAAUGGUGACUUCUUCCAAAAUCCACCUUUUUCAGAUUUCCAGGUCUUGCUACACCUCACAGGUUUUGCAUGAGAUCGCACUGCCCAUCAUCACUGCCAUUCAUCACUGCCUAUCGAGCCUUAUGCUCAGUGCACAGGGCUGAACUGCAGUAUCUCACCAAGACCUGUGGUAUCAAGCCUUGGCCAAAAAUGUCUGGUUUUAAUUCAUACCUGUAUCUCUUAUCUACCAAGACAGCAGUAUCUAAUAAACAAAUAACAGUAAUUUGGUUUCCUGGCACCACAUGUGGGACAUGCUUUCUGCCCUUUUCCUUGGGUUUUUGUGGUUUAUCAGUCCUUUCCUGUGAAACUCUUCAUGUUGGAAAGGAGGCAGUAAGUCAUAGAGCUCUUAACAUUUUCUCUUUGUGGAGAAAUGUGACUUUUCAUCUUUAAAUAAUUAUUCAACUUGUUCCUUAAUGUAUUCUUAAUAUAACUGCUUUACAGUGUUCCAGUAACAGCCAGGCACUAUCUCAUAAUAGUGACUCAUCUUCUUAUCCGAGACUAUACAUAUUCCUUACAAAAACACAUAGCUGAGCACUCUUAAAUAUUUAUCUUGUCCCCAAAAGAGAGAUAGGACUGGUAUCAGUAGAUCUGAGCCAAGGCUUUCAUCCAGGUUUAGAGCCCAAGUUCUCAGCUCACCCUGCAUUUUCUAGAAGGGCCAAAUCUGAGCACCGAAAGCUUGCCUCUUGGCUUGGCUUGGAGGUCUUCAUGCUGUUUCCUGCACAGCGGUGGAAAAGCAAUCUCAUCCUGUCUUGGUGAUUUCACUUGAAUGAAUUGAACAGAGCAAUGACACAAGGGGAAUCCAGCAUACCCUUUGUAGGGUCAGUCCUGUGGGAGAUUCCCAAGGGACAAGAGGAUCACUGAGUGCCCUAUGGUCCAACAUCUCAGAACCAGCAGGAGGGAACAUGACUGCAAGUUCAGCUUUGAGUUACUAAUGUGACGUUGUAGGAUUGACUCGCCAUAGAUCAGGUCGGACAAAAUUCUGAUCCCACUUCCACUGAUUUUGCAACAUAGCAAAAAGUGCUGACACUAGCCAAGUCAUUCCCGUAUAAACAAGAACAAAAUCAAGCGGAUGAAACUUGGAUCUGGACAAGGGUGCUCACAUCCAACUUGUUGCCUUAAGCUUUCCUGUAACUUGGGCAACGAGAGCAGCAGAGCAGAACUUGCAUGACUUUCUCUCCUUUCCCAGGGUGUCCAAGAAGUCAUCAUUGUCCCAGGCAAUGACCAUCGUUUCUAACACUCAGUGCUUUCUGUAUUUACACAUACACACUCCCUCAAGGUCACCUUUUGGCUGCUUCUUUUCCACCUCCUGGAGUCCAGCCUUAUCUCCUGCUGAUUGCUUCCAACUAUAACACAUUCUUGAUUUUUUGAGUUUUCAGAUAAUAUCGAAACUUCUUCCAAGCUACUUUGUCUUCCCGCCAGUAUCCUUUCAUGCUGAUUGGAGAUGCAUGUAUCUUGUAUCUCACAAGACUGCCUUCUCACUCGAGGCACGUGGGCACAAUACGAUAGUGCCAAAGCAUUACAUAUAGCACAAAACCAGGAUAAUACAAAGGCAGCUUUAAAUUAAUAGCAGUUCAAAAGAUAUCAAUACAUUCAGUUUGACUACUAGGCUGUUAGAAAUCCAAACUGAAGGUACAGACUAAGAAAACAGUAACAAUCACAGUCCAGAAUAAGAUAACAUCUCCCCAAACUGCCUUGUACAAAUUCCUGCCGGGUAGGUUGGCUGCCUUCGGAUGGGGCUCCACAGUUCGGUGUCUUUCACUGUUUUCCAUGGAUUAAGCAAGAAACCAGUAACCCAAAUUCAAGCAUUAAGGGCAGAUCUGCCCUUACCCAGGUGGUCCCACCAAAACCUUUGCAGAAUCACAAAUCUGGGCCUGCUCUAGUUGAGCAGCUACAGCUGUUUCAUUCAUGCCAACCCAACCGUAACCCUGGCCAUUACCUCAUGGCUCCGUCUCUCUGCCUUGACCUUCCUCCUCCAAUUCAUCCUCCCAGCACAGCAGCAGCAAGAGCCCAGCUUGGCUCUGGCUCCUGAGCCUUUGGACCACAACACACAGCUUUGUCUAAGCUGAUGAGAAAUCUUGAAUCGCUUUUCAAAAAUCCCACUCCCACCAAGGCCAGCGUGUCAGGUCCUUGGUGGCUGCACAUCCUACUGAAGCCACCGAAGCCAACGGGGCUGUGCUGAAACACACCACCUGACUCACUUGGCUCUAAACCUUUGAUUAUUGACUUCAAUGGGAAGAAACUCUGGGCCUCCAUGACUUUUUGCUGACCUUAGAAGAGUUUAAGCAAUAAACUGUUCUCUUGUCAUCUGCAACUCCCAUAGGAUCCCUCAGCCGAACAGACCACGAGCGUUUGCAAGGUAAGCAGCCCAGUGUUUGGAGAGCACAACGACGACGCUACGGCUGAGAAUGUUAAUUGUUCUCCAUCGCCCCCAGUGAUUUUAACAUUUCAUAAUUCCUCUGCUGGCUGACAGUUGGAUUCUUCCCUAAUUAGAAACCAGUUGUAGUUGAAAAAUCAGACAUUUCCUGGAAUUUAAAUAACCAAUUUUCCACCAGUCAGCAUCCAACAACACAAUCCUACAGUCUUAUUCGAAGCACAUUGGAAAAAAUUAUUGGAGCAUACUGGAUAAGUGGGGAAAAAAGGGAUUUUUGACAACUUCACGCAUUCAAAUACACCAUUCCUGGAUCUUUGUAUUCCAGCUUAUUUUGUAAGGGGUUUUUGUUGUUGUUGUUGUUGUUUUUAAAAGUGGAAAUAAUACCAUUCAUUGACGAAACCACAACUCAAU